rnacentral:tRNA from 1 species
GCCAUCUUGGCACAGUGGUUUAAGUGCUGGACUACAACUCUGGAGACCAGGGUUCGAUUCCCAGGUUGGCC